rnacentral:rRNA from 1 species
GAUGAACGCUGGCGGCGUGCCUAAUACAUGCAAGUCGAGCGAACAGACGAGGAGCUUGCUCCUCUGACGUUAGCGGCGGACGGGUGAGUAACACGUGGAUAACCUACCUAUAAGACUGGGAUAACUUCGGGAAACCGGAGCUAAUCCCGGAUAAUAUCUUGAACCGCAUGGUUCAAUAGUGAAAGACGGUUUUGCUGUCACUUAUAGAUGGAUCCGCGCCGCAUUAGCUAGUUGGUAAGGUAACGGCUUACCAAGGCAACGAUGCGUAGCCGACCUGAGAGGGUGAUCGGCCACACUGGAACUGAGACACGGUCCAGACUACUACGGGAGGCAGCAGUAGGGAAUCUGCCGCAAUGGGCGAAAGCCUGACGGAGCAACGCCGCGUGAGUGAUGAAGGUCUUCGGAGCGUAAAACUCUGUUAUUAGGGAAGAACAAAUGUGUAAGUAACUAUGCACGUCUUGACGGUACCUAAUCAGAAAGCCACGGCUAACUACGUG